rnacentral:rRNA from 1 species
UACGUAGGGGGCAAGCGUUGUCCGGAUUUAUUGGGCGUAAAGAGCGUGUAGGCGGCCAUACAGGUCAGCUGUGAAAACUCGAGGCUCAACCUCGAGACGUCGGUUGAAACCGUAUGGCUAGAGUCCGGAAGAGGAGAGUGGAAUUCCCGGUGUAGCGGUGAAAUGCGCAGAUAUCGGGAAGAACACCUAUGGCGAAGGCAGCUCUCUGGGACGGUACUGACGCUGAGACGUGAAAGCGUGGGGAGCAAACAGG